rnacentral:rRNA from 1 species
UACAGAGGGUGCGAGCGUUAAUCGGAAUUACUGGGCGUAAAGCGUGCGCAGGCGGUUUGGCAAGGAGGAUGUGAAAUCCCAGGGCUCAACCUUGGAACUGCAUUUUUAACUCGCGAACUAGAGUGUGUCAGAGGGAGGUGGAAUUCCACGUGUAGCAGUGAAAUGCGUAGAUAUGUGGAGGAACACCGAUGGCGAAGGCAGCCUCCUGGGAUAACACUGACGCUCAUGCACGAAAGCGUGGGGAGCAAACAGG